rnacentral:rRNA from 1 species
AGAGUUUGAUCCUGGCUCAGGACGAACGCUGGCGGCGUGCUUAACACAUGCAAGUCGAGCGGAAAGGCCCUUCGGGGUACUCGAGCGGCGAACGGGUGAGUAACACGUGGGCAACCUGCCCUCAGCUCUGGGAUAACUCCGGGAAACCGGGGCUAAUACCGGAUACGACCUGCCCUGGCAUCGGGGUGGGUGGAAAGUUCUUCGGCUGAGGAUGGGCCCGCGGCCUAUCAGCUUGUUGGUGGGGUGACGGCCUACCAAGGCGACGACGGGUAGCCGGCCUGAGAGGGCGACCGGCCACACUGGGACUGAGACACGGCCCAGACUCCUACGGGAGGCAGCAGUGGGGAAUAUUGCGCAAUGGGCGGAAGCCUGACGCAGCGACGCCGCGUGAGGGAUGAAGGCCUUCGGGUUGUAAACCUCUUUCAGCAGGGACGAAGCGAGAGUGACGGUACCUGCAGAAGAAGCACCGGCCAACUACGUG